rnacentral:rRNA from 1 species
GCUCAGGAUGAACGCUAGCUACAGGCUUAACACAUGCAAGUCGAGGGGCAUCAGGAAGAAAGCUUGCUUUCUUUGCUGGCGACCGGCGCACGGGUGAGUAACACGUAUCCAACCUGCCGAUGACUCGGGGAUAGCCUUUCGAAAGAAAGAUUAAUACCCGAUGGUAUAUCUGAAAGGCAUCUUUCAGCUAUUAAAGAAUUUCGGUCAUUGAUGGGGAUGCGUUCCAUUAGGUUGUUGGCGGGGUAACGGCCCACCAAGCCAUCGAUGGAUAGGGGUUCUGAGAGGAAGGUCCCCCACAUUGGAACUGAGACACGGUCCAAACUCCUACGGGAGGCAGCAGUGAGGAAUAUUGGUCAAUGGACGAGAGUCUGAACCAGCCAA